rnacentral:rRNA from 1 species
GACGAACGCUGGCGGCGUGCCUAAUACAUGCAAGUAGAACGCUGAAGGAGGAGCUUGCUUCUCUGGAUGAGUUGCGAACGGGUGAGUAACGCGUAGGUAACCUGCCUGGUAGCGGGGGAUAACUAUUGGAAACGAUAGCUAAUACCGCAUAAUAGUAGAUGUUGCAUGACAUUUGCUUAAAAGGUGCAAUUGCAUCACUACCAGAUGGACCUGCGUUGUAUUAGCUAGUUGGUGGGGUAACGGCUCACCAAGGCGACGAUACACAGCCGACCUGAGAGGGUGAUCGGCCACACUGGGACUGAGACACGGCCCAGACUCCUACGGGAGGCAGCAGUAGGGAAUCUUCGGCAAUGGACGGAAGGCUGACCGAGCAACGCCGCGUGAGUGAAGAAGGUUUUCGGAUCGUAAAGCUCUGUUGUAAGAGAAGAACGAGGGUGAGAGUGGAAAGUUCACACUGUGACGGUAGCUUACCAGAAAGGGACGGCUAACUACGUG